rnacentral:snRNA from 1 species
GUGCUUGCUUCAGUAGCACAUAUACUGAAAUUGGAGCAAUACAGAGAAGAUUAGCAUAGCCCCUGUGCAAGGAUGACACGCAAAUUCAUGAGGCAUUCCAUAUUAAA